CGGCCUUUAUCAGCCAAUGAUGGUUCCAGCCCACAGGUGGAGCGUUAAUAGCGCAAAUACAGGCUGCGGAAAUGCGAAAAGCAUAAAUUUAUUUACCUUAGAUUCUGGGUUUCCUAUAAAUAGGAAAUAAAUCCCAGAAUCGUUCUCUUUUGGCUGGUGAAUCUAGAACGGUCUAGAAGUGCGCGCGUGUGUAGCUUUUUAUUAAAUAGAGGUGUUAGUCCGUUAGUAAAAACGGCUAAUUGUAGUACGUCGAAUUAAAAUUGUGUUAGUAAAAGUUAAGAUUGUAAAAAUCCGAUUGUUAAAAGUUAAUUGUUCAAACACAAACAUCGACAAACAAGAAGAAACUAUAAGAAAAAGGUCCGAGGCAAGGGCCUUUUUCUUUUAUUUUGGGCUUUUUCCCAGCAAACGGCCGGAGAAAGCGACGACGAGCCACCUCGAGCGAUGCACAAAAGCCAAUGCCAGCCAUAAGACGCCAUUGUCGAUGGCAUCCCACGGUUCGAACGCCUAGGAACCCCCUCACCUGGCGACAAGCUCCCCUGCAACCAUCCGCCAUUGCGAAAGCGGCAUUUUCGCCUUUGGAUUCCGCACCAUCUCGCCCGGUUGCUAGCUGUAAUCGCCGAUUGCUGUAAACCUCCUUGGAGUCUGGCGCAAACAUCCAACACCAGUUCGGCAUUCGUUGUCGGAUCCUACCUCCACCAUUCGGAACCAGAGGUUCCCUACCACACCACUACAAACCACAAACCGCAAGUACUAAAACCCCAAAGUGACGUAGUUAAUAAAUAGGACUAGUUUGUAAAGAUGUCCAGUGGUAGCUUAUUUAAAGAGCAUAGCCCUGAGGUAAAGCUUUUCCACCACUUUGUUCUUUUCCGCUUUGUCGAGCUCAAACGGAGCUAUCAGGCCUCGCCUUUCUGGAAUUCUCCCCCAACGUAAAACUGUUAUUAUGCUUUCCGUAUCAAACAGCCGACCUAUUAGCGAAACAUUGGUGGGUAAGUAUACCACAAAAAGGUCCUGCACAAUAGGUCUGUCCUCAGCUGGAGAUUUGAGAGACAAGUCAGUUCCAAACGACCCCGA